rnacentral:rRNA from 1 species
CAGCGGAACGAUCGGUGGAGCGGUGGAAUGCGUAGAGAUCGAUCGGAACGCCAAAGGUGAAGACAGCUGGCUGGGCCUUUCCUGACGCUGAGGCACGAAAGCGUGGGGAUCAAACAGGAUUAGAUACCCUGGUAGUCCACGCCCUAAACGAUGCACACUAGACCGUUGCGGCUCUGACGUCGUAAUGGUCGUAGAGAAAUUGCUAAGUGUGCCGCCUGGGGAGUACGGUCGCAAGGCUAAAACUCAAAGGAAUUGACGGGGGCUCACACAAGCGGUGGAGCAUGUUGCUUAAUUCGAAGCAACGCGAAGAACCUUACCCGGGUUUGACAUACACGGAUUAGUUGGUGGAAACAUCAAUGAGGCCCGCAAGGGUACAACGUGAACAGGUGCUGCAUGGCUGUCGUCAGCUCGUGCUGUGAAGUGUUUGGUUAAGUCCAUUAACGAGCGCAACCCUUGUCGUUAGUUGCUACCGCGUCAUGGCGAGGACUCUAACGAGACUGCCGGCGUCAAGCCGGAGGAAGGUGGGGAUGACGUCAAGUCCUCAUGGCCCUUACACCCGGGGUUGCAAACGUGCUACAAUGGUGCGCACAAUGCGA